rnacentral:misc_RNA from 1 species
AACGGUCUAUACCUGCGGUACCUGCGGAAGGAUCAUUAGUGAAUUUUGGGCACUCUAACCGAGGCCCAACCUCCACAAUCCCAAACACUGUGCACUUUAUUCUGGCGAGCUUCGUAAUUGAAGAUUGCCUUCAUUUUUUUAACACUAGUCAAAGAAUGUAAAUAAAAUCAUAACAAAAAAAACUUUCAACAAUGGAUCUCU